GUCCAGACUCCUACGGGAGGCAGCAGUGGGGAAUAUUGCACAAUGGGGGAAACCCUGAUGCAGCAACGCCGCGUGAGUGAAGAAGUAUUUCGGUAUGUAAAGCUCUAUCAGUAGGGAAGAAAAUGACGGUACCUGAGUAAGAAGCCCCGGCUAACUACGUGCCAGCAGCCGCGGUAAUACGUAGGGGGCAAGCGUUAUCCGGAUUUACUGGGUGUAAAGGGAGCGUAGACGGCGAUGCAAGUCUGAAGUGAAAGCCCGGGGCUCAACCCCGGGACUGCUUUGGAAACUGUAUGGCUGGAGUGCUGGAGAGGCAAGCGGAAUUCCUAGUGUAGCGGUGAAAUGCGUAGAUAUUAGGAAGAACACCAGUGGCGAAGGCGGCUUGCUGGACAGUAACUGACGUUGAGGCUCGAAAGCGUGGGGAGCAAACAGGAUUAGAUACCCGUGUAA
rnacentral:rRNA from 1 species